rnacentral:rRNA from 1 species
AACGAACGCUGGCGGCAGGCCUAACACAUGCAAGUCGAGCGAGGACUUCGGUUCUAGCGGCGGACGGGUGAGUAACGCGUGGGAAUGUGCCCUUCUCUACGGAAUAGCCCUGGGAAACUGGAAGUAAUACCGUAUACGCCCUAUUGGGGAAAGAUUUAUCGGAGAAGGAUCAGCCCGCGUUGGAUUAGGUAGUUGGUGGGGUAAUGGCCUACCAAGCCGACGAUCCAUAGCUGGUUUGAGAGGAUGAUCAGCCACACUGGGACUGAGACACGGCCCAGACUCCUACGGGAGGCAGCAGUGGGGAAUCUUAGACAAUGGGGGCAACCCUGAUCGAGCCAUGCCGCGUGAGUGAUGAAGGCCUUAGGGUUGUAAAGCUCUUUCAGCUGGGAAGAUAAUGACGGUACCAGCAGAAGAAGCCCCGGCUAACUCCGUG